rnacentral:rRNA from 8 species
GCGACCCCAGGUCAGGCGGGGACACCCGCUGAGUUUAAGCAUAUCAAUAAGCGGAGGAGAAGAAACUUACAAGGAUUCCCCUAGUAACGGCGAGU